GGAAUUGACGGGGCCCGCACAAGCGGUGGAGCAUGUGGUUUAAUUCGAAGCAACGCGAAGAACCUUACCAGGUCUUGACAUCCCCUGACAACCCGAGAGAUCGGGCGUUCCCCUUCGGGGGACAGGGUGACAGGUGGUGCAUGGUUGUCGUCAGCUCGUGUCGUGAGAUGUUGGGUUAAGUCCCGCAACGAGCGCAACCCUCGACCUUAGUUGCCAGCAUUCAGUUGGGCACUCUAAGGUGACUGCCGGCUAAAAGUCGGAGGAAGGUGGGGAUGACGUCAAAUCAUCAUGCCCCUUAUGACCUGGGCUACACACGUGCUACAAUGGGCGGUACAAAGGGUCGCGAACCCGCGAGGGGGAGCCAAUCCCAAAAAGCCGCUCUCAGUUCGGAUUGCAGGCUGCAACUCGCCUGCAUGAAGCCGGAAUCGCUAGUAAUCGCGGAUCAGCAUGCCCGCGUCGAUACGUUCCGGCCUU
rnacentral:rRNA from 1 species